rnacentral:rRNA from 1 species
UACGUAGGGUGCGAGCGUUGUCCGGAAUUACUGGGCGUAAAGAGCUCGUAGGUGGUUUGUCGCGUUGUUCGUGAAAUCUCCACGGCUUAACUGGUGAGCGUGCGGGCGAUACGGGCAGACUGGAGUACUGCAGGGGAGACUGGAAUUCCCGGUGUAGCGGUGAAAUGUGUAGAGAUCGGGAGGAACACCGGUGGCGAAGGCGGGUCUCUGGGCAAUUCCUGACGCUGAGGCGCGAAAGCGUGGGGAGCAAACGGG